rnacentral:rRNA from 1 species
GGGUUGUGAGGUUAAGCGACUAAGCGUACACGGUGGAUGCCCUGGCAGUCAGAGGCGAUGAAGGACGUGCUAAUCUGCGAUAAGCGUCGGUAAGGUGAUAUGAACCGUUAUAACCGGCGAUUUCCGAAUGGGGAAACCCAGUGUGUUUCGACACACUAUCAUUAACUGAAUCCAUAGGUUAAUGAGGCGAACCGGGGGAACUGAAACAUCUAAGUACCCCGAGGAAAAGAAAUCAACCGAGAUUCCCCCAGUAGCGGCGAGCGAACGGGGAGCAGCCCAGAGCCUGAAUCAGUGUGUGUGUUAGUGGAAGCGUCUGGAAAGGCGCGCGAUACAGGGUGACAGCCCCGUACACAAAAAUGCACAUGCUGUGAGCUCGAUGAGUAGGGCGGGACACGUGGUAUCCUGUCUGAAUAUGGGGGGACCAUCCUCCAAGGCUAAAUACUCCUGACUGACCGAUAGUGAACCAGUACCGUGAGGGAAAGGCGAAAAGAACCCCGGCGAGGGGAGUGAAAAAGAACCUGAAACCGUGUACGUACAAGCAGUGGGAGCACGCUUCGGCGUGUGACUGCGUACCUUUUGUAUAAUGGGUCAGCGACUUAUAUUCUGUAGCAAGGUUAACCGAAUAGGGGAGCCGAAGGGAAACCGAGUCUUAACUGGGCGUUAAGUUGCAGGGUAUAGACCCGAAACCCGGUGAUCUAGCCAUGGGCAGGUUGAAGGUUGGGUAACACUAACUGGAGGACCGAACCGACUAAUGUUGAAAAAUUAGCGGAUGACUUGUGGCUGGGGGUGAAAGGCCAAUCAAACCGGGAGAUAGCUGGUUCUCCCCGAAAGCUAUUUAGGUAGCGCCUCGUGAAUUCAUCUCCGGGGGUAGAGCACUGUUUCGGCAAGGGGGUCAUCCCGACUUACCAACCCGAUGCAAACUGCGAAUACCGGAGAAUGUUAUCACGGGAGACACACGGCGGGUGCUAACGUCCGUCGUGAAGAGGGAAACAACCCAGACCGCCAGCUAAGGUCCCAAAGUCAUGGUUAAGUGGGAAACGAUGUGGGAAGGCCCAGACAGCCAGGAUGUUGGCUUAGAAGCAGCCAUCAUUUAAAGAAAGCGUAAUAGCUCACUGGUCGAGUCGGCCUGCGCGGAAGAUGUAACGGGGCUAAACCAUGCACCGAAGCUGCGGCAGCGACGCUGAUGCGUUGUUGGGUAGGGGAGCGUUCUGUAAGCCUGCGAAGGUGUGCUGUGAGGCAUGCUGGAGGUAUCAGAAGUGCGAAUGCUGACAUAAGUAACGAUAAAGCGGGUGAAAAGCCCGCUCGCCGGAAGACCAAGGGUUCCUGUCCAACGUUAAUCGGGGCAGGGUGAGUCGACCCCUAAGGCGAGGCCGAAAGGCGUAGUCGAUGGGAAACAGGUUAAUAUUCCUGUACUUGGUGUUACUGCGAAGGGGGGACGGAGAAGGCUAUGUUGGCCGGGCGACGGUUGUCCCGGUUUAAGCGUGUAGGCUGGUUUUCCAGGCAAAUCCGGAAAAUCAAGGCUGAGGCGUGAUGACGAGGCACUACGGUGCUGAAGCAACAAAUGCCCUGCUUCCAGGAAAAGCCUCUAAGCAUCAGGUAACAUCAAAUCGUACCCCAAACCGACACAGGUGGUCAGGUAGAGAAUACCAAGGCGCUUGAGAGAACUCGGGUGAAGGAACUAGGCAAAAUGGUGCCGUAACUUCGGGAGAAGGCACGCUGAUAUGUAGGUGAAGUCCCUCGCGGAUGGAGCUGAAAUCAGUCGAAGAUACCAGCUGGCUGCAACUGUUUAUUAAAAACACAGCACUGUGCAAACACGAAAGUGGACGUAUACGGUGUGACGCCUGCCCGGUGCCGGAAGGUUAAUUGAUGGGGUCAGCGCAAGCGAAGCUCUUGAUCGAAGCCCCGGUAAACGGCGGCCGUAACUAUAACGGUCCUAAGGUAGCGAAAUUCCUUGUCGGGUAAGUUCCGACCUGCACGAAUGGCGUAAUGAUGGCCAGGCUGUCUCCACCCGAGACUCAGUGAAAUUGAACUCGCUGUGAAGAUGCAGUGUACCCGCGGCAAGACGGAAAGACCCCGUGAACCUUUACUAUAGCUUGACACUGAACAUUGAGCCUUGAUGUGUAGGAUAGGUGGGAGGCUUGGAAGUGUGGACGCCAGUCUGCAUGGAGCCGACCUUGAAAUACCACCCUUUAAUGUUUGAUGUUCUAACGUUGACCCGUAAUCCGGGUUGCGGACAGUGUCUGGUGGGUAGUUUGACUGGGGCGGUCUCCUCCUAAAGAGUAACGGAGGAGCACGAAGGUUGGCUAAUCCUGGUCGGACAUCAGGAGGUUAGUGCAAUGGCAUAAGCCAGCUUGACUGCGAGCGUGACGGCGCGAGCAGGUGCGAAAGCAGGUCAUAGUGAUCCGGUGGUUCUGAAUGGAAGGGCCAUCGCUCAACGGAUAAAAGGUACUCCGGGGAUAACAGGCUGAUACCGCCCAAGAGUUCAUAUCGACGGCGGUGUUUGGCACCUCGAUGUCGGCUCAUCACAUCCUGGGGCUGAAGUAGGUCCCAAGGGUAUGGCUGUUCGCCAUUUAAAGUGGUACGCGAGCUGGGUUUAGAACGUCGUGAGACAGUUCGGUCCCUAUCUGCCGUGGGCGCUGGAGAACUGAGGGGGGCUGCUCCUAGUACGAGAGGACCGGAGUGGACGCAUCACUGGUGUUCGGGUUGUCAUGCCAAUGGCACUGCCCGGUAGCUAAAUGCGGAAGAGAUAAGUGCUGAAAGCAUCUAAGCACGAAACUUGCCCCGAGAUGAGUUCUCCCUGACUCCUUGAGAGUCCUGAAGGAACGUUGAAGACGACGACGUUGAUAGGCCGGGUGUGUAAGCGCAGCGAUGCGUUGAGCUAACCGGUACUAAUGAACCGUGAGGCUUAACCUUACAACGCCGAAGGUGUUU